rnacentral:rRNA from 1 species
UGGGGAAUAUUGCACAAUGGGGGAAACCCUGAUGCAGCGACGCCGCGUGAACGAAGAAGGUAUUCGUAUCGUAAAGUUCUGUCCUAUGGGAAGAUAAUGACAGUACCAUAGAAGAAAGCUCCGGCUAAAUACGUGCCAGCAGCCGCGGUAAUACGUAUGGAGCGAGCGUUGUCCGGAAUUAUUGGGCGUAAAGGGUACGCAGGCGGUUUAAUAAGUCGAAUGUUAAAGAUCGGGGCUCAACCCCGUAAAUCAUUGGAAACUGAUAAACUUGAGUAGUGGAGAGGAAAGUGGAAUUCCUAGUGUAGUGGUGAAAUACGUAGAUAUUAGGAGGAAUACCAGUAGCGAAGGCGACUUUCUGGACACAAACUGACGCUGAGGUACGAAAGCGUGGGGAGCAAACAGG